rnacentral:misc_RNA from 1 species
UGCUAACAUUAGUUUUGUGUGUUGAUAUCUGUGUUUUAAUUUUCAUUGUACAUCAACUAUGGAAAAGAGAAAACUCUCAACUUCGGGCGAUUCGCUGUAUUUAAUCCUUGGAUUACCCAAGACGGCCACUCCAGAUGACAUAAAAAAGACGUACAGGAAAUUGGCUCUGAAAUACCAUCCAGAUAAGAAUCCCAACAAUCCAGAAGCUUCCGAUAAGUUCAAAGACGUAAACCGAGCACAUGCCAUCUUGAGUGAUCUGACAAAGAGAAAUAUCUACGAUAACUACGGAUCUCUGGGAUUGUACAUUGCUGAGCAGUUUGGUGAAGAAAAUGUCAACGCUUACUUCCUCGUCACAUCUGGCUGGUGCAAGGCUCUUAUUUUGUUCUGCGGCGUGAUAACCGGCUGCUACUUCUGCUGUUGUUGCUGCUGUUGCUGCAACUUCUGCUGUGGAAAGUGCAAACCGCGGCCACCAGAGGACUCUGGCGACUAUCAGACGCUACAUGAUAGCGGAGACGAAGAUGGUGGUGGCGGUGGUAUGAGCGAGGCGGUGACGUCACAGCCCAAGUCGAAUGAGUCAGCGCGACCGGUGUUCGCCAUGCCCCCUCCCGGCGCCACAGAGUCGUCCUCCCUUAACACCGGCGACCGCACCACCUACACGCCAGGUAAUUUGUUUACAAUGUAAAAAUGAUGGUUUAACUGAACAGCCACAUAUAUCUUGAUUUAACUUUCAUAAGCAGUCACCAGUUUAUUAUUUAUCAAUUUCUUUUGUGAUCCCAUUUUCCAAUAAGACACCAUAUUUAUUUUGAUCGGACAUAGAUAACCACCAAUCUUCCUGCAUCUUUUAGAGCAAGAUGAAUGUCGCAGAGCGGCUCUCCCAGUCACAUGUAAACAUCACGCUCUAAUUAUUAUUAAUUGAACCGACAUCAUCAUUGAAUGCAAGUGAAGCCGAGGAAAACCAAUCAAAGUUAUCGUCGACAUCAAAGGGAAUGGUUAUUUAAAAUAUAUAUUUUAUGUAAAUCUGAAACUUUAUCAUAUUAUUAUUAAUACAAGUGAAAUUCUUUCAUUUGCGCACUUAUGAUAAAUGUUAUGCUUGAUGCAUGCAAUUAAAAACUGCCUGGUCCUUUGCUAGUAUGUCGAGGAGUUUUGUGAAACAAUUAAUGAAUAAGAUAGUUAUCAUUCAUGUUCAAGGUCCAUAAUUUAUUGAGAGCGCUCUUUCUGAUACCAUCAAUUAUUUGAGUAUCUUACCAUCAUCAUAUGAAAAUAUAGUAUACAAAAUUCAGUCAAAACAUUGUAAUCAGUUUUAAAUUUAUUUAUUAUAUUGCUGUGAUUUAUUUAUUCAUGUCUUUCUGACUACUCGACUUCGUUUCUGUUAUAGAAUAUUGUCUUGUAGAAUAUUAUACAGUUGUUUCUAAUUAUUUUUUCAUUAUUUUCCUAAAUGUUUUGUAUAAUUCAAAAAGGCUCUGUAAUAGAGUGUAUUGCAUUUUUUUGUGUAAAAUUUUCCAUUUUAACGCUAUAAAAAAUAUUUGAUUAUUAUACUAGUUCACUAUGCAUAUUACCUAUGUUUUAUUCGAGAAAAUUUUAUGACAUUAAAUUGCAUUUCUUUUAAACAAUAGAUUGUGCUGAUUGAAAACAAAAUCUCUAGAAUUGAAUUGAUCAUUAAAUUAAAAUCAAUAAAAUUCAAUCAUCAUUAUGAUACGAUUGAAUAAUUGAAAUGAAGUUUCCAUCCUGAAUUCAUUUAUGUUGGAUUGUUCAUUUAAAGGUAAUAUUCCAUUAAUAUUGCAAUAAAAUCGAAAAAGAAAAAUCGAACAAUUUCAAUUCAUGUACUAAUUUUUUUAACAUUUAAACAUUUUAAAAUUUAAUCAGUUAUCAGUAGUGCUUCUUUCACAGAUUAAAUAAAUAUUUUCGAAUGCUAAUUUCUCUGAGUUUGUAUCCAAAUGAAUAGGAUACAAUUAUUUGUCAAUCGAGUAUUAACUGUUAGUUUUGUAUAUACAUACAUCUUUUUUAUUGCUUUCUUAUAACUAACUAAGCGUCCUUUAGUUUUUAUGUAGCGUUUACUGUGAUUGAAAUUUGAGCAACAUUUUAUUAGGGAACUUUUAGGCGACGUUUUCUAAUGUAAUUUAUUAUAAAUCAUUUAUUGUUUAAAUAGUAUAUCAAACGUCGCUAAUAAAAACUUAGCUUGGUUUACUUUUGAAAAUAAAUUAUGUUACUUUUGUAAUAUCAAUCAACUCUUUCAAUUGUGCUGAGUAAGUAUCAAGUAAGAUUUCACCUUAUUAGCAGUGAUGUAUGUAUUUUUGUAAUUUAACUCUAUUGUUGUUAAUAAAAAUCUAAAAAUUCAUGUAUAAUCUGGAUUUUUCAGGCUGUUUCUUCUACACUCUUUAAAACUCUCACAUUCAACUUCUGUUGACAGUAACAUGAGGUUAUUCCUUGUUUUGAAUUGUUGUGAAACUUACCACCUUGACAAUUUAAAUAAUUUUUUAUUAAUUAAAUUCCUUAUUUUCAUUCACAUUCCUUGAAAACUAUUGACUGGGUGAGGUGGGCUACUCAUUCAUUUAAUGGAAUUUAAAAACAAUAAUAUAUUUCUCAAUCUUUAUAACUCAUCUUUCUCUAAUGGAUUUUAUUUAUAACUUUUCAAGAACUUAUAUUCCGGCUAUUGUAUGUGAAAUUUUAUUCAAGCCAGUGCUCUAUCUUUAAGAGGACUAACAUUUUUGAAAAUCUAUAAAAAAUUUCAACAUUUUGUUAAAAGAAGUUGAUAUAAUGAUAAUAACUCUAUGAACACCUAAAUCAUACCGGUAAUUAAUGACUUGAAAAUCUAAUUAGUGUUGGUCAGGUUAAGUACAUUGUAACCAUCAUGAGAUUACUUCUAUUAGUCUCCAUUUUCCAAUGCACGUCUUGAGGCUAACUUGACAAUACCUCUAAUAAUAAUAGUUGAUAUACUUUGAAAAAAAAAAUCCUGGACCGAAUGUCUAGACCUCUUGGCCCUUUCUUAGUAAUCGUUGAAUAGUUGUAUUUUAUUCCGUCUAGUUAUUGUAUUAGAUAAAUGACUAUAAUUUUAAAAUUUGUUGUAAACUCUAAACAGGAAUUAUUUUGAAUUGAAUAGCCUUGUAAAUAAUCAUUAUCACUGAUAUAAUAUUUGUAUUACAAAUGAGUAAAUACAAAUUAGUCUUGUACAUGUUGAGAAUUGUACUGUAAAUUUGUUGAUAAAAUAGUUAUGUUUUGCAAGUUUUGCCAUAAAAUCAAUCUUGAAUCUCAAAAAUUAGGAUAUUGUAAUAUACAAAAAUAAUAUUGAGCUAAUUAAACUAUUCAAAAUUAGGAUAAUAUUAUGAUAACAUUUUUCAGUACUUAUGUCUUGAAUAUAAUGCAAGUUUAUAACAUAAGUAUAAACCAGGUUUAUUAGUUGAGCAUCAAUUCAGCAGUGUGUGUAAGGAACAUUUCACUCAUCUAGUAUAUUUAUAAACACGGUAUACAUAAAUAUAUCUACUCAUUAGCUUAAUGUUUAGGCCUAGCAAUCUUGAACACAGUUUAGCAGCAUUAUUUAGGUGUUAUUGCAUUGUAAAAUUAAUGAACAUUUGUGAAUAUUCAAGGUUUUUCAUCAAUCACUCUCCAAAUUUUGCGUAUUGUACAACGAGUCAAUAAACAGGGGAUUCUCGAUCAAUGACCUAUUCAAUUGAUAUUGAAAUUAAUCAAAAUUUGUUUCUGAAGACAAUAAAAAAAAUUAAACUACUAGCUGGAAGCAAAUUUGAAUUGAAGUACCGUAUUUUGAAUUGAUAAUAUAGUUUUAAGCGAGCUUCAUGUCGUAUUCAAAUGAUAUUCGGUUUAUAAAAUGUCUUUACAGUACCUAACUUGAUGGUUUUCAAUCAAGUUCAAUAAGAAUUUUAGGUAACUAAUUGAUAAUCAAACUCUUGAAAUAGCUUAUUUAGCUAUUUAUUAUAACUAUUAAUUAUUGAACAAAUCGUACUGUAACUAUAAUUAUAAUUUGUUGAUUAAACAAGCUUAAACUGAUGAGAAAUCUUGGAAGUAGGUUACGUAUUCCCUUAAUAAAAUACUCGUAUAUUUCAAUUUUUCACUUGUCUCUGUGAUUUUUGUCAGAAAGAUACAUGAGGAGUAUGUGGCGCUAUUCUGAAAAAAAUCACAAAUUUAGUAAUGUCACUGAAUAAAAUACUGAAAUAAUUCAGUUUUACAAUAGUUUUAUUUUAUUGAGCUAUUCAUGUUUUGAAAACAUAAUAAGAUUGAAUGUAAUUCUUGUCAAUUUAAACGUGUAGUUUACUUGAGAAUCAGUUUCCUCUUAAAUUAACAAUCUUCCAAGAAAUUAUAUACGAUACAGUAUUGUGAAUUACUUAGUAAAUGCCUAGUUCAUUUGAAAUUGAAGAUGUUUUUAUAAAGCUAGAAUAUAACAUUGAGAACAGUGUCUAGAAGUUAGUGAUAGAACUUAGAACUCGAAUUCAAUAAUUUAUCCAGAUUUCUCUGCUUGAAACAUAUCCUCAUUUGUGUAAUUCUGUGAUUGAUUAAAAAAUCAUAUAUUAUAAUAUAUACAUUCACAUUUUCAAAUAUAGGAUCCAUAAGUUUUACAUAUUGAAAAAUUAGGAAAUAUUUUCGAGACUUUCAAUGAAUCACACCUAUUCAGUUGGAUAAUAAAUUUAUUAGACAUUAUUAGUCUUGUUAAUUAUAAUUAUGUAUUUAAAAGAGAUAUUGACAGUGACGCAUUGUUGUAAUAACAAGAGUUGCAUCGAGAUGAAUAUUGUAUAUUAAAUCAUUUAAAUAACAUA